rnacentral:rRNA from 1 species
AUUGAACGCUGGCGGCAGGCUUAACACAUGCAAGUCGAGCGGAGCGAGGGUGCUUGCACCUUAGCUUAGCGGCGGACGGGUGAGUAAUGCUUAGGAAUCUGCCUAUUAGUGGGGGACAACAUUCCGAAAGGAAUGCUAAUACCGCAUACGCCCUACGGGGGAAAGCAGGGGAUCCUCGGACCUUGCGCUAAUAGAUGAGCCUAAGUCGGAUUAGCUAGUUGGUGGGGUAAAGGCCUACCAAGGCGACGAUCUGUAGCGGGUCUGAGAGGAUGAUCCGCCACACUGGGACUGAGACACGGCCCAGACUCCGACGGGAGGCAGCAGUGGGGAAUAUUGGACAAUGGGCGGAAGCCUGAUCCAGCCAUGCCGCGUGUGUGAAGAAGGCCUUUUGGUUGUAAAGCACUUUAAGCGAGGAGGAGGCUACUUAGAUUAAUACUCUGGGAUAGUGGACGUUACUCGCAGAAUAAGCACCGGCUAACUCUGUGCCAGCCGCCGCCGUAAAAC